UGGGGAAUAUUGGACAAUGGGCGAAAGCCUGAUCCAGCCAUGCCGCGUGUGUGAAGAAGGCCUUAUGGUUGUAAAGCACUUUAAGCGAGGAGGAGGGUACUGGUAUUAAUACUACCAGGUACUGGACGUUACUCGCAGAAUAAGCACCGGCUAACUCUGUGCCAGCAGCCGCGGUAAUACAGAGGGUGCGAGCGUUAAUCGGAUUUACUGGGCGUAAAGCGUGCGUAGGCGGCUAAUUGAGUCGGAUGUGAAAUCCCCGAGCUUAACUUGGGAAUUGCAUUCGAUACUGGUUAGCUAGAGUGUGGGAGAGGAUGGUAGAAUUCCAGGUGUAGCGGUGAAAUGCGUAGAGAUCUGGAGGAAUACCGAUGGCGAAGGCAGCCAUCUGGCCUAACACUGACGCUGAGGUACGAAAGCGUGGGGAGCAAACAGG
rnacentral:rRNA from 1 species